GCAGAACUUGAGUCUGCACCAUGCCCUGGGCUCCUCUGCUCCUCACCCUCCUCACAUGUCAUACAGUGUCUCUGGCCCAGGCAGGGCUGACUCAGCCCCCAUCGGUGUCCAUGGGCCUGGGACAGACAGUGACACUCACCUGCACUGGGAACGGCAAUAAUGUUGGUAAUGAGGGAGCGGUUUGGCUGCAGCAGCACCCAGGUCAGUCCCCCAAACUCCUGGUGGACAGGGUGCACAACCGACCCCCAGGGAUCUCAGAGAGGUUCACGGGGUCCAGGUCAGGAAAUGUCGCUUCCCUGACCAUCUCUGGACUCCAGAAUGAGGACGAGGCUGACUAUUUCUGUACAGCAUGGGACAAGAGCUCAAUGGUUUGCACGGUGCUUCAGGCCAGUGGGGAAGUGAGACAAAAACUCAUGGGCUCCCCUUGCAUCACUCAGCACGUGGGAACCUCACAGAGCAUUGUGUAAACUAGACCUGUAAAAAUGACGGCUUCCUAGUCAUAAUAUUGUGUACUAUUCAAGACAGUAAAAAAUAUUAACAUGAAUAAAAUUAGUAAUUAACAAGCCUGUGUUAGGCAACACCACUGAGUAUAUAUGUGGCUAUUUGCACAUAUGAAUGUAUAUGUGCCCUAGUAUUUGGUAAAAUGAAAUAUAAGGCUUAACUAAGUUUUCUCAGAUUUUUCUUGUGUCCUCGGUUUGGAGCUGCUGGAGUCCAUGCUCAGAUUAUCCAUCUCUCUGCUCUUGCCAGUCCCUUCACCAGGGUCACCAGAAACUACCUCCCUCCUUGUGGUCUGGGCACAUGUCCUCACCUCUCAUUAGAACACCCUAAAUCCUCUUCAGUGGGGAUUCCUUGACCUACACCAUAGAUCUGGACAUGAACAUCACACUUGAUUGAUGCUUCUGCAGUCCCACUUCCCUGUCUAUCCUCAUCCCCCACUUCCCUGUCUACCCCC